rnacentral:rRNA from 1 species
UACGUAGGGGGCGAGCGUUGUCCGGAGUUACUGGGCGUAAAGCGCGCGCAGGCGGUCGAGUAAGUUUGGAGUGACAGGUGUCGGCUUAACUGACACAGGCCUUCGAAAACUGCUUGACUUGAGGGACGGAGAGGGAGACGGAAUUCCAGGUGGAGCGGUGAAAUGCGUAGAGAUCUGGAGGAACACCAAUGGCGAAGGCAGUCUCCUGGCCGUUACCUGACGCUCAGGCGCGAAAGCCAGGGGAGCGAACGGG